CCUAGUCGCGGUCGCCAUUUUCUCGGGUAGUCGUCGGUUCACCGUGUUUCCUCGGGUUUGGUGUUUUUCGGUCCGCGAGCACCGCCGAAAAUCCGGCCUCCCCCAGGUUAGGCCACCACAAAUGGCUUGCUUGAACACCCUCAAGCAGGAGAUCAAAACCCUCGAGUCCGUCUUCCCCAAGAGCCAUGAGAGGUUUCAGAUAAUGUCCGCGAGUGUCGACGAGCUCAGCUGCAGGUUCGUCGGUAAAAAUGGGAAGAAGUACGAAAUUCACGCCAAUAUCACAGAAACAUACCCCUCGACUCCACCAGUCUGGUUCGCAGAGUCGGAAGAGACUAGUGUCACGAACGCGGUACAAAUUCUCAGUAACACGACUGGACAAGACAACCACGUGAUCAACCAGGUGGGGAUCCUCUUGAAAGAAUUGUGCCGGCUUCACUCGUUACCGGAACCACCGGAUGUGGAACGGUUGAGAACGUCGUUGUUCCCUCUACGUCUCGGCGGUGCCGCGGCUACGAUGGCCCAGAGAAUGGAAGCCGAAGAUACAGAGGACAUCGACGACGACGAAGAGAGCGAAGCAGAGGAAGACCUCCACUUGGACAUGGACGACGGAGAAGCUAAUGCUAAGAAUAAAGGAGAGGAAAUGGAUUUGGAGCACCUUGCAACUCUGGAAAGGUUGAGACAGAAUCAGAGACAGGACUAUUUAAAAGGUUCGGUCUCUGGUAGCGUUCAAGCGACUGACAGACUGAUGAAAGAGUUGCGUGACAUAUACAGAAGCGAUAGUUUCAAGAAAGGAAUGUAUAGCAUAGAGUUGGUUAACGACAGCCUGUACGAGUGGAACAUCAGGCUAAUGUGCGUGGAUCCUGACUCGCCACUUCACAAUGAUCUAGUUCUUUUGAAGGAGAAGGAAGGCAAAGACAGUAUUCUGCUCAACAUGCUUUUCAAGGAACAGUACCCCUUCGAGCCACCAUUCGUCAGGGUGGUUCAUCCCAUAAUCUCCGGCGGAUACGUUCUGGUCGGAGGCGCGAUUUGCAUGGAGUUGCUGACGAGGCAAGGCUGGAGCUCCGCUUACACCGUGGAAGCGGUCAUCAUGCAGAUAUCGGCUACCUUGGUCAAGGGCAAGGCGCGCAUACAAUUCCAAGGAACCGGGGGCAGUGGCAAAGUCUGUGGUGGACAAGGCCAGUACAGUUUGGCGCGCGCGCAACAGUCCUUCAAGUCCCUCGUACAGAUUCACGAGAAGAACGGUUGGUUCACACCGCCAAAGGAAGACGGCUAAUGAAGACGAAGUGUCAGAGAACGACAAUGUGACGCGUGCUUGCGGCUGAGACUUUAAUUCGCGGGGUAGAGGCGCGACGGCGAAUCGAGGGGACGAGGACCGAGGGACGAGAUUUCGACGCGUCCACCUCAGGAGGCGACAUUUCCCGCCAGCCCGGGCGGGCGAAGAGAACGGGUGGCGGCGCGAGGAGAGCGAUUGUAAAGGAUAUCCUGUAACGCCUCCUGGUCUUCUCGAGGUCGUUCUCUCUCUCCCGAGGGACGAGGUUCGACGUUUCCCGCCCGGGCGGGCGAAGAGAAUGGGUGGCGGGCCGAAGAGAGCGAUUGUAAAGGACUAAAGCGAUUGUAAAGGAUACCCUGUAACGCCUCCCGGUCUCCUCGAGCCCGAGGCACGGGUCGCCCCGUUCCCCGAUCGGUCGCUGUCUACCCGUACCCACCCUGGAUCUAGAUGUAGGCCUUGUACGCCGUGUUAAGUGUAUGGUACGAUUCCAUUAUUUCUGUCAUCGUUCUGCCCGAACGCGAGCGACCGGGAUUCCUCGGAACUGACUCCCUGAGACGGCGGCCACGUGACUUUGACAGAAUCCCGGCCGCGCGCCACGUGGGUUUGACAGGACACCACGUGGGCGUGACGCCGCAUCGCGAAGCCGCAUCGUAGCAUCACUUUGGACCCGAUUUAAUUGCAACUUAGUUACUAGGAUCAAACCGCGCUGGUGGUAGUAUUUUUGGAUAUUUUCUUCAAACCCGAUAGAGUGUUAAGUACUAGAUAGGACACGCGAUCGGUGGAGGUCGGCAUCGAAACUUCCGAAGUAAUAUCGAUAGCCGUGGUCCGAUUGAUUUAAAUCGUUGCGAUUCAAUCGGGAGGGCUUCUCGCGAAACGGUGCCUGGGAACGAGUAUCUCAUUUUUCCAGGUUUUCUCUUCUUUUUUAAUAAUCUUCACGUGGUCGCCGCGAGACGCGACCAACUCGUUCGCGGACCUCGGUCGCUCGCCUUGCAAAGUCUAUCACAACUCUCCCAUCUAUACACUUAAGUAACUAACCGAUCGACAGCAUCGUCUCUCAUCAUCGAUCUUUAAGCUUAAGGUUACGCCCACGGACGCAGCUCCGUCCCGGGGCAUGCUCUACCAUUAUUGAUUUGACGUUAAAACGAAAUUCUAGCGCAACAUUAUCAUUUCCCCUCCGUCUGCCCCUCCCCCUAUCGGGUUUCGUUAUCCGUCUGUCGUCUCGCUUCAUUCUCUCUCCUGACGUCAUGGACCUUUCUCUCUGGCUCGCUCCCACUUUCUGUGACCUCUGUCUCUCUAUCUUUCUAUCUCGCUCUAGAAUUUCGUAAUAGAUUAUGUUAAUUAUUAUUUAGGAGAACGCUAUGAAACAAAAUAAAGAUUUUAAUAAAAAAGAGCUCCGAGAGUUGUGCGUA
rnacentral:misc_RNA from 1 species